AUACGUACCGCACGAACGUUAUUCGGAAUCACUGGGCUUAAAGGGUGCGUAGGCGGCUUGGAAGGUGGGGUGUGAAAUCCCUCGGCUCAACCGAGGAACUGCGCUCCAAACCGCCAGGCUUGAGGGAGGCAGAGGUGAGCGGAACUGAUGGUGGAGCGGUGAAAUGCGUUGAUAUCAUCAGGAACACCAGUGGCGAAGGCGGCUCACUGGGCCUCUUCUGACGCUGAGGCACGAAAGCUAGGGUAGCGAACGGGAUUAGAAACCCCGGUAGUCC
rnacentral:rRNA from 1 species